AAAAAAUGCAUUAAAUAGAUAUGAAAAACUAUACCGACAGUAUGAUAAGAAAUAGAACAAAAAAUAAACUCUUUACUCUGCAUAUAAGAACAUAGUUUUACAGUCUGUUUUGCAACAUUUUUGGCUCAUCUUUACGUAGGCUAUUAACUAACUAUUCUUUGUUGGACUUCACGUCAUCACGUUUCAUUGUGAGGGACAGUAUUUGAUGUGUGUGUGUGUUUUCUCUACAUGUUGCAGUGCGAUUUCAAUAUCCAUGUGUGAUGAUAAGUAGCACUAUCCUUUAUUGAUUUGUCCAGCUUAAUGUGUGCUGGACUGUUUGAAAAGGGAAGUAGAGGUUAGCCUAGCUUAAAAAAAGAGAACCACAGAGUGCUGACCUGCCCGUUGCAUUUUACUGUCACUAAAGAGAGCUCAGUUUGCACGUGUACUGGAGCCAGGCAGUAGUACAGGGAAAAACAUAAAUGGAUAUGAUUCCAAAGUUUUUAUUGGUAAAAAGGAAAUGAUUUUUAAUGGAAAAAUAAUGGUACUUUUGACGUGGAUGAUCUGUAAAGGCUCAAUAAUGGCGCUAACCUUAAAAAAAGGCGCAAGAUGUUGAAAGAAACUUUUUGACUGUAUUUUUACAUAAUUUGAAUGUAGAAAUGUAUAUUUUUUGGUAUGAGAAAGAUUUAAAACGCUUUUAUUAGUAAUUAAUGAAGUUAAAUCUCUUCUUAGAAUGGUGCAUUAGGGAAACUUGAAACUAUAAUUUCACGCAGCAGUGCAGCUAAAACAUUCCACUUCUGAUUAUCUACAUUGGAUGUGCUCAUCAAUCAAGAAUAACUUUCCAAAAAUGCGCAAGCUACACUUGCAAGUUUGUAUGACAUUUGACUGUGUUUAUCUGAAGGAAAAAUGGUGUGAAAGAAGUACUUACAGUAAUUUCAUCCCCUUAUCCGUCUUGCGAUAUUCCGUUUGGUGUACUUUAGACACCCACACGUACAAUGUAGCAUCAUGCUGCAAUGCAGACUUAUUUGUCAUGGAUCCUAUUUUAGUACAUUUAAUAGAAAGACAGGCAUUUGUUUUACAUUUUAAAUACAUUUCAGUACCUGUGGAGCUGAAAUUCUAACCUCAUCCUUCUCUGCUACAUCGCCACACCAAGACACUGUCGCAGCCUUUUACGAGGUCUUGAAUGUAACGUUUUUUAUGCCGUGUGCUACAGCAAGAUUUAAGGGCUGCACAGAGUGCAGUAUUACGCCUUGCUGCUCAGCUGGCUCUGUCAGUUUAGUGAUGACAAGUUGAUUUGCUUGCAAAAUAUGCUAGCCUAGGGAAAAAAACUGACAAACUUGGAGAUUUGGUCUAUAAGUCAGUUAAUAUUUACAGUGAAUGGCCUGGCCAGGAGCCCAAUCAAGCCCAUUUCCAAGUUUUCCAAAUCCAGGCAGCAAUCACAACCGCUGAGGCGGGCUUUACGCUGCAGCUUUUAGUUUACAUUCAACAUGACGGCCACAGAAGCACAGCACCCCACUGAUGCCGCUGUUGCUGCUACGUCACCCAGAUCGUUGGUCUGAUUGGUUGAAGGACUAUCCAAUUGCACCCCCAGAGGCAUUUGAGCGGCAUCCAUUGGAAACAGGCUGUGAAUGAAGCUUGCCCAGACCCACUCAGUUACAACUGAGAAGGGUCUGGUGUCGACCAGGCUAAAAAUAUGCUUUUAAGUGUGUCAUCAUCUGAGGUACUCAUUGAUCUUUGUAUUUUAUAGAUACGUGGGAUUGUAGUUUUUUUUCACCAGUCUGGGCCUUUGUGUAAACUGUGAAGCAUUGCAACUGUUCAUUUCAUCCGCUGGGAAAAAAAGGUGAACUUGAAUUUUUGCCAAGCUGAGGUUGCUAUUUUAAUGUAAGAUGUUUCAUUGUUUUGUAGAUACAUUGAAAGAGAUCAAUGUCAAGGCUUUUACCGUUUUACCCACCCCAGCAUUACUGUUUUCGACAGUGUUUGUCAUGCACAUACAGUUUGUCUUGAGGGUGAGAGCUGUCAGGUAAAGUAGUUCUGUUCAGGGAGGAAAUGUUGUGUCAAGGAUUAAAAAUGAAAGCACACUGACAUUAUUUAUUUAUGCUGACAAAAGUAACACAUUUAGGCAAUUUGAAAUCACAGGUUUCUGUACAUAUCUCUUCAGUUGUUUCAGUGAAUACUGUAGAUUCUUAUGCUUUGAUGAGUAUUUUAGUGUUACAAUACCAAUUUUGUAAUACAGGAUUGCCAUGGAGCACCUAGGUUUUCUGUAAAAUUCAUUUUGGCAUAAAAAGUGAAUCCAUGAGCUGUAAAAUAGUGUGUCUUAAAUAAAGUGUUGGUUUAUUAUUACGUAA